UUCAGCCAGCACAUAGAGAGACACACUAGUGAUAGUGAAAGGGCGAGAAAAAGGUGUUCAGCCAAGCUUCCCAGCCUGCGACGUCUUCAGCGUCAUCAAUCUUUGCCGCCGUCGCUUGUCGCUGCUUCAUCUCACCGAGAUCCCUCACGGCAACGAGCUGCCUCUCCCUGCCGUCCCGUGAUCCUGUUGUUCUGUGGCUAGAUAUUACUCCAUGUUGUCUUGGUUGUUGGAGGUGUGAUACGUGAGCGACACGAGAAGAAACAGAGAAAUCGUGAGCGCGAGCCAGAAAAAAUAAAUAUUGCAGUGCCCUCGAAGAUUGAAGAUGGUGAUCCAGUGGUGUUGUUCGUCAGUGCAGUUAGACAAUUUGGUCAAUCAUCCACUCACGGUCAAAUGCAACAGAAGCAAAAAUUCUUGAAAGCCACAAGACAAAACAGAGAAGACUAGAGAGGCAGGCGGCAAUGUACAGAGAGAUCAUUUUUCACUUCCCGCUGGUUUUUGCUCUCACGUCCCCUCCACCCCUCCAUCGGCACCUGUCAUGUCGUGCGCCUUGUCCCUGUAAUCUAAUUAUUUUCUGCAGAUUUUCCACACUAGCCUGGUUCUUCGUCCACGAUCACCAUUGCUCCUCAGCAUCCCAGCGAGUUCCGGAGCCCACCGCCAUUGACGUUCUAACCCGUUUCCAUCGAGACCAUGGAGCAAUAAGCCAUCGCCAAUGCCACCAUCCAACCAGUCCGAAUUCGCGAAUGACAUCCGCAAAAUAAUACUUCAGUGAGUUAGACAAGUUGUACAAUGAAGUAAUUGAAGAGCACUGAGACCCUAGAAGCCUAUAUCCGAUUACGAAGAUCUUGUUGACGUGUUGCUUCGGUUGCAAAGGAUCCAAAUCAAAUGAUUGCCCUCACAGGCGAACAGAUAAAAGGUGUAUUAACUGUAUGUUCCUCUUUGCGCUAUUUGUCCAGCAUAUGUUUCCUUCUGUUCACUUCCUUAUCACUCUGUUACAAACUAGAUCAAAACAGAAAAAGAUUGGGACAAAGUGCCUGGGAUUUUAUUUCAGGACACAUUCAAUGCAGGUAAAGAUUCCACGGCAGCCACUCUAGUUUGGACAAUGACAGAACGCACCCGCCAUCCAUCUAUGAUGAGAAAAGCACAAGCAGAGGUUCGAGAAGCAGCAAAAAGAAAGUUACACGUUGAAGAGAGUGACCUUCUAGGACUCACUUGCCUAACAUCAGUCAUCAAAGUGGCAUUAAGACUCCAUCCACCACUCCCUCUUCUAGUUCCAAGAGUAACGGUCGAGGAUUGCUAGAUGAGGGAAUACAAAAUUCCUAGAGGAACAACUGUAUUCAUCAAUGUGACAGCAAUAUCAACAGACCCGAAAAGUUGGGAAAACCCAGAAGAGUUUAGGCCAAGAGGUUCUUGAGCAGCUCCAUUGAUUUCAAUGGACAGAACUAUGAGUUUCUGCCAUUUGGUUCUGGCAGGCGGGGAUGCCCUGGCAUAAACUUCGGUAUCAUGAUAGUGAAGCUUGCAUUGGCUAAUCUCCUUCAUCAGUUCGACUGGAAACUGCCUGAAGGGAUGAGUGUUGAAGAUAUUCACAUGGAAGAAGCUUACGGCGUCACGACUUUCAAGAGAACUUCUCUUUGGCUGAUAGCAACCCCUGUGACUGGUUGACGUUGCGUUUGGAUGCUACUGAUAGAAAAGUACGCCUGAUUCACUCUGUAAAAACAUGGACUUUCUUCUGUUUCAGCAUGUUUACUGUGUUGUAAUCCUACCACAAGUUCUCCGGUUGGACUUUGUGGCAAUUGCUGUUCCUAGAUCUUGUAACCUGAAAUAAUCAAAAAACUUUUGAAAAACAAA